GACGGGGCCCGCACAAGCAGUGGAGUAUGUGGUUUAAUUCGAAGCAACGCGAAGAACCUUACCAGGGCUUGACAUCCCUUGAAGCAGCUAGAGAUAGCUGUGUCCUUCGGGACAAGGAGACAGGUGGUGCAUGGUUGUCGUCAGCUCGUGUCGUGAGAUGUUGGGUUAAGUCCCGCAACGAGCGCAACCCCUGUGGUUAGUUGCCAGCAAGUAGCGUUGGGCACUCUAGCCAGACUGCCGGUGAUAAAUCGGAGGAAGGUGGGGACGACGUCAAAUCAUCAUGCCCUUUAUGUCCUGGGCUACACACGUACUACAAUGGCCGUUACAACGGGAAGCGAAGGAGCAAUCCGGAGCAAAUCCCUUAAAGGCGGUCCCAGUUCAGAUUGUGGGCUGAAACUCGCCCACAUGAAGGCGGAAUUGCUAGUAACCGCGAAUCAGCAGGUCGCGGUGAAUACGUUCCCGGGCCUU
rnacentral:rRNA from 1 species